UUCCUUUGAUUUGGCCGAAAAUUUGGGGGUUUUAUUUGUUUUUUCUUUCAUGUUCCUAGGCUGCUUCGAUUUGUGAUUCAUGUCCGAUUUUCUUCCCGUUCUUGGGACCUCUAUAACUUUUCUUCGUUGCUUAUGAUUUUGUUCCAGUGCAUGUUAUCCCCUUACUUUUCUUCGGUUUUUUCUCAUUUGUUUUCUCCCGCCGUUUUUUUUCCUUUAUUUUUUUUACAUGAUUGGCUUCUUAAUAUCUAAUAUAAUUUCCUGAUGAGUAAUGCAUGCUGUUCUGUUGAUUCAGGUCCUCCAUCCUUUGCUUUCAUGGAUUUUUUGUCGCAGGACGUCUGUUUGCAUGGCUGGAAUUUCUCUUGCCUCCUUUUCUACCGCGUAUGGGUUUACUAUCAUUCCCUGCCUCAUACUUACUACCAUCUGCACUUGCUUCCUUGAUAUUCAGGACAUGGAACUAUAUUUAUAGCACUUAAGAUAUUUUAUUCCCUUCUCUACGUUGUUCAUAAAUUUGUAGGGCUACAUUUUAUUAUAAGACCUAUUUAAUCUAUUUGUUCAUUUAUAAA